ACUCCCGCCGUGGGUCCCUCUGAAUAAGCGGCUGAAAUCUCCUGAGGGGCCCACCUCGGCAUGGACCUGCCAGCUACCGGAGCCUUCCGCCUCCACCUGUCCCCUCCUACAGAGGCCAGCACUGUGACACAUGGUCUUAUGUGCUGAUACCGGCAGCCCAGCACGGGCAGUUCACUGUGGACCACGGUGUGGGCAGGAGCUGGUUGCUGCCUCCCGGGACGCUGGACCAGUUCAUCUGCCUGGGCAGAGCUCAGGGCCUCUCGGAUGACAACAUUGUCUUCCCAGAUGUGACUGGAGGUGCCCUGGACCUCAGCAGCCUGCCCUGGGUGGCAGCCCCAGCCUGACCACUCAGACAGCCGCGGCCCCCAAGGCCUGACUCUUCUUGUGGGAGGGCGAGGCUGGUCACCCCAGGCCAGCGUCUGUUGAAGGAUGAAGCAGCUCCUGUCCGGCCCAGCCCUGCCUCACAGCUGCGCGAGCUCUGCCCUCCUCAGCUCUCAAACCUGAAUAAAUGCACCAAGCCCAGA
rnacentral:sRNA from 1 species